AUUGAACGCUGGCGGCAGGCCUAACACAUGCAAGUCGAGCGAGCGGCGGACGGGUGAGUAAUGUCUGGGGAACUGCCCGAUGGAGGGGGAUAACUACUGGAAACGGUAGCUAAUACCGCAUACUAUCGGAUGUGCCCAUAUGGGAUUAGCUAGUAGGUGGGGUAAAGGCUCACCUAGGCGACGAUCCCUAGCUGGUCUGAGAGGAUGACCAGCCACACUGGGACUGAGACACGGCCCAGACUCCUACGGGAGGCAGCAGUGGGGAAUAUUGCACAAUGGGCGCAAGCCUGAUGCAGCCAUGCCGCGUGUAUGAAGAAGGCCUUCGGGUUGUAAAGUACUUUCAGCGGGGAGGCGUUACUCGCAGAAGAAGCACCGGCUAACUCCGUGCCAGCAGCCGCGGUAAUAC
rnacentral:rRNA from 1 species